GUGACCUCAAAUCAGGUAGGACUACCCGCUGAACUUAAGCAUAUCAAUAAGCGGAGGAAAAGAAACUAACAAGGAUUCCCCUAGUAACUGCGAGUGAAGCGGGAAAAGCUCAAAUUUAAAAUCUGUCAGUCUUUGGCUGUCCGAAUUGUAAUCUAGAGAAGUGUUAUCCGCGCUGGACCGUGUACAAGUCUCCUGGAAUGGAGCGUCAUAGAGGGUGAGAAUCCCGUCUUUGACACGGACUGCCRGGGCUUUGUGAUGCGCUCUCAAAGAGUCGAGUUGUUUGGGAAUGCAGCUCAAAAUGGGUGGUAAAUUCCAUCUAAAGCUAAAUAUUGGCGAGAGACCGAUAGCGAACAAGUACCGUGAGGGAAAGAUGAAAAGAACUUUGGAAAGAGAGUUAAACAGUACGUGAAAUUGCUGAAAGGGAAACGCUUGAAGUCAGUCGCGUUGUCCAGGGAUCAACCUUGCUUUUGCUUGGUGUACUUUCUGGUUGACGGGUCAGCAUCAAUUUUGACUGUUGGAAAAAGGUCAAGGGAAUGUGGCAUCUUUAGAUGUGUUAUAGCCCUUGGUUGCAUACRAUGGUUGGGAUUGAGGAACUCAGCACGCCGCAAGGCCGGGUAUUARCCACGUACGUGCUAGGAUGC
rnacentral:rRNA from 2 species